rnacentral:rRNA from 1 species
GUGGGGAAUAUUGGACAAUGGGCGAAAGCCUGAUCCAGCCAUGCCGCGUGAGUGAUGAAGGCCUUAGGGUUGUAAAGCUCCUUCAGUAGGGAAGAUAAUGACGGUACCUACAGAAGAAGCCCUGGCUAACUUCGUGCCAGCAGCCGCGGUAAUACGAAGGGGGCUAGCGUUGUUCGGAUUUACUGGGCGUAAAGCGCACGUAGGCGGAUUGGUCAGUUAGAGGUGAAAUCCUGGAGCUCAACUCCAGAACUGCCUUUAAUACUGCCAGUCUAGAGUCCAGAAGAGGUGAGUGGAACUCCUAGUGUAGAGGUGGAAUUCGUAGAUAUUAGGAAGAACACCAGUGGCGAAGGCGGCUCACUGGUCUGGUACUGACGCUGAGGUGCGAAAGCGUGGGGAGCAAACAGGAUUAGAUACCCUAGUAGUCC